AUUGAACGCUGGCGGCAUGCCUUACACAUGCAAGUCGAACGGCAGCACGGGAGCAAUCCUGGUGGCGAGUGGCGAACGGGUGAGUAAAGUAUCGGAACGUGCCCAGUCGUGGGGGAUAACGUAGCGAAAGUUACGCUAAUACCGCAUACGAUCUAUGGAUGAAAGCGGGGGAUCGCAAGACCUCGCGCGAUUGGAGCGGCCGAUAUCAGAUUAGGUAGUUGUUGGGGUAAAGGCUCACCAAGCCGAAGAUCUGUAGCUGGUCUGAGAGGACGACCAGCCACACUGGGACUGAGACACGGCCCAGACUCCUACGGGGGGCAGCAGUGGGGAAUUUUGGACAAUGGGCGAAAGCCUGAUCCAGCCAUGCCGCGUGCAGGAUGAAGGCCUUCGGGUUGUAAACUGCUUUUGUACGGAACGAAAAGGUUUGGCCUAAUAAGCUGAGCUCAUGACGGUACCGUAAGAAUAAGCACCGGCUAACUACGUGCCAGCCGCCGCAGUAA
rnacentral:rRNA from 1 species